rfam:Schistocephalus solidus strain NST_G2 genome assembly, scaffold: SSLN_scaffold0001289
GGCCUCGUAGCUCAGUUGGCUAGAGCUUUGGCUGUACUAAAGCCUUCCCCUUUCUGUCGUGGGUUCGAAUCUCACCAAGGCCG